UACAGGGGGUGCAAACGUUGCUCGGAAUCAUUGGGCGUAAAGCGCACGUAGGCGGUUCGUUAUGUCGGAUGUGAAAGCCCUUGGCUUAACCGAGGAAGUGCAUCCGAAACUGGCGAGCUAGAGUACUAAAGAGGAUCGCGGAAUUCCCGGUGUAGAGGUGAAAUUCGUAGAUAUCGGGAGGAACACCAGUGGCGAAGGCGGCGAUCUGGGAAGAUACUGACGCUGAGGUGCGAAAGCGUGGGGAGCAAACAGG
rnacentral:rRNA from 1 species